rnacentral:ncRNA from 2 species
GUUAUAGUUAAAGCGCCCGAACUAGAAUAAUAUAAUUAUUUUAGUUGACGAGGAUGGGGAGUAUCGAAAUCUUCGGCGGAUGCCCCACGGUAAACGCACUACCGUUAACGAUUGAUAAAAGCAGAAAGUGAUUUUUGUUACAAAAUCAAUCCGGUGUUAAAA